GAUCUUGCUGUAAAUAAGCAAAUCCUCGGGCAGCUCAUGAUGGACCUCUCUGCCAGUGUGACACCUCACAGCAGCGCGAGACCUUUCUCUU
rnacentral:lncRNA from 1 species